UACGUAGGGACCAAGCGUUGUUCGGAUUUACUGGGCGUAAAGGGCGCGUAGGCGGCCCCGCAAGUCACUUGUGAAAUCUCCGGGCUUAACUCGGAACUGCCAAGUGAAACUGCAGGGCUAGAGUGCGGAAGGGGCAAUCGGAAUUCUUGGUGUAGCGGUGAAAUGCGUAGAUAUCAAGAGGAACACCUGAGGUGAAGACGGGUUGCUGGGCCAACACUGACGCUGAGGCGCGAAAGCCAGGGGAGCAAACGGG
rnacentral:rRNA from 1 species